GGGUUGUGAGGUUAAGCGACUAAGCGUACACGGUGGAUGCCCUGGCAGUCAGAGGCGAUGAAGGACGUGCUAAUCUGCGAUAAGCGCCGGUAAGGUGAUAUGAACCGUUAUAACCGGCGAUUUCCGAAUGGGGAAACCCAGUGUGACUCGUCACACUAUCAUUAACUGAAUCCAUAGGUUAAUGAGGCGAACCGGGGGAACUGAAACAUCUAAGUACCCCGAGGAAAAGAAAUCAACCGAGAUUCCCCCAGUAGCGGCGAGCGAACGGGGAGGAGCCCAGAGCCUGAAUCAGCAUGUGUGUUAGUGGAAGCGUCUGGAAAGGCGCGCGAUACAGGGUGACAGCCCCGUACACAAAAGCGCAUGUGCUGUGAGCUCGAAGAGUAGGGCGGGACACGUGGUAUCCUGUCUGAAUAUGGGGGGACCAUCCUCCAAGGCUAAAUACUCCUGACUGACCGAUAGUGAACCAGUACCGUGAGGGAAAGGCGAAAAGAACCCCGGCGAGGGGAGUGAAAAAGAACCUGAAACCGUGUACGUACAAGCAGUGGGAGCCCCACCACUAAGCCAGUGGUGAACUCCACAUACGCAUCCUUUGCUGAGGAUACGGUUAACGGAGCGCAAGCGACGUUCAACCGCAAAAGAAGCAGAGGGGGCUUAGUGGUGGGGUGACUGCGUACCUUUUGUAUAAUGGGUCAGCGACUUAUAUUCUGUAGCAAGGUUAACCGAAUAGGGGAGCCG
rnacentral:rRNA from 1 species